rnacentral:rRNA from 1 species
GACGAACGCUGGCGGCGUGCUUAACACAUGCAAGUCGAACGGUGAAAGCGGAGCUUGCUCCGCUGGAUCAGUGGCGAACGGGUGAGUAACACGUGGGCAACCCGCCCCUCACUUCGGGAUAACUCCGGGAAACCGGGGCUAAUACCGGAUAUGACCUCCUUGGGCAUCCUUGGAGGUGGAAAGUUUUUCGGUGAGGGAUGGGCCCGCGGCCUAUCAGCUUGUGGGUGAGGUAGUGGCUCACCAAGGCGACGACGGGUAGCCGGGCUGAGAGGGCGACCGGCCACGCUGGGACUGAGACGCGGCCCAGACUCCUACGGGAGGCAGCAGUGGGGAAUAUUGCGCAAGGGGCGAAAGCCUGACGCAGCAACGCCGCGUGCGGGAUGACGGCCUUCGGGUUGUAAACCGCUUUCAGCAGGGAAGAAGCCGCAAGGUGACGGUACCUGCAGAAGAAGCACCGGCUAACUACGUGCCAGCAGCCGCCGUAA